rnacentral:rRNA from 1 species
GAUGAACGCUGGCGGCGUGCCUAAUACAUGCAAGUCGAGCGAACAGACGAGGAGCUUGCUCCUCCGACGUUAGCGGCGGACGGGUGAGUAACAUGUGGAUAACCUACCUAUAUGACUGGGAUAACUUCGGGAAACCGGAGCUAAUACCGGAUAAUAUAUUGAACCGCAUGGUUCAAUAGUGAAAGACGGUUUUGCUGUCACUUAUAGAUGGAUCCGCGCCGCAUUAGCUAGUUGGUAAGGUAACGGCUUACCAAGGCAACGAUGCGUAGCCGACCUGAGAGGGUGAUCGGCCACACUGGAACUGAGACACAGUCCAGACUCCUACGGGAGGCAGCAGUAGGGAAUCUUCCGCAAUGGGCGAAAGCCUGACGGAGCAACGCCGCGUGAGUGAUGAAGGUCUUCGGAUCGUAAAACUCUGUUAUUAGGGAAGAACAAAUAUGUAAAUAACUGUGCACGUCUUGACGGUACCUGAACAGAAAGCCACGGCUAACUACGUG